rnacentral:rRNA from 1 species
UUGGUGGGGUGAUGGCCUACCAAGGCGACGACGGGUAGCCGGCCUGAGAGGGCGACCGGCCACACUGGGACUGAGACACGGCCCAGACUCCUACGGGAGGCAGCAGUGGGGAAUCUUGCGCAAUGGGCGAAAGCCUGACGCAGCGACGCCGCGUGAGGGAUGACGGCCUUCGGGUUGUAAACCUCUUUCAGCCCUGACGAAGCGAAAGUGACGGUAGGGGCAGAAGAAGCACCGGCCAACUACGUGCCAGCAGCCGCGGUAAUACGUAGGGUGCAAGCGUUGUCCGGAAUUAUUGGGCGUAAAGAGCUCGUAGGUGGCCUGUCGCGUCGGCUGUGAAAACUCGGGGCUCAACUCCGAGCUUGCAGUCGAUACGGGCAGGCUAGAGUGCGGCAGGGGAGACUGGAAUUCCUGGUGUAGCGGUGAAAUGCGCAGAUAUCAGGAGGAACACCGGUGGCGAAGGCGGGUCUCUGGGCCGAUACUGACACUGAGGAGCGAAAGCGUGGGGAGCGAACAGGAUUAGACACCCUGGUAGUCCACGCCGUAAACGGUGGGAACUAGGUGUUGGCGACAUUCCACGUCGUCGGUACCGCAGCUAACGCAUUAAGUUCCCCGCCUGGGGAGUACGG